rnacentral:ncRNA from 1 species
GUGAAGCCCGCGCCGGGACGUGUUUUGGAAGGUCCGGUGCGGUGAAGGUGGGUAAAUCUCCGGCCCUUGCACAGGCAGGAGUUCCAUUGGGCGUUCGGCGUCUGGGAGUUGCACCUCUCAGGCGCCGUCG